rnacentral:rRNA from 1 species
GAUGAACGCUAGCGGCAGGCCUAACACAUGCAAGUCGAGGGGUAACAGGGAGCUUGCUCCGCUGACGACCGGCGAAUGGGUGAGUAACGCGUAUGCAAUCUGCCUUCUACAGGAGGAUAGCUCGGAGAAAUCCGGAUUAAUACUCCAUAAUAUCACUUUAACACAAGUUUUAGUGAAGAAAGCUUUGGCGGUAGUAGAUGAGCAUGCGUCCUAUUAGUUAGUUGGUAAGGUAACGGCUUACCAAGACGACGAUAGGUAGGGGGCCUGAGAGGGUGAUCCCCCACACUGGUACUGAGACACGGACUAG